AUUGAACGCUGGCGGCAGGCCUAACACAUGCAAGUCGAGCGGAGCUGCGGACGGGUGAGUAAUGCCUGGGAAUCUGCCUGGUCGUUGGGGAUAACGUCCGGAAACGGGCGCUAAUACCGCAUACUCUCAGAUGAGCCUAGGUCGGUUUAGCUAGUUGGUGGGGUAAAGGACUACCAAGGCGACGAUCCAUACCUGGUCUGAGAGGAUGAUCAGUCACACUGGAACUGAGACACGGGCUAGAAUCCGAAGGGAGGCAGCAGUGGGGAAUAUACGACAAUGGGCGAAAGGCUGAUCCAGCCAAGCCGCGUGUGUGAAGAAGGUCUUCGGAUUGUAGAGCACUUUAAGUUGGGAGGCGGUACCAAAAGAAUAAGCACCGGCUAACUUCGUGCCAGCAGCCGCGGUAAUUC
rnacentral:rRNA from 1 species